CCUACGGGAGGCAGCAGUGGGGAAUUUUGGACAAUGGGCGCAAGCCUGAUCCAGCAAUGCCGCGUGAGUGAAGAAGGCCUUCGGGUUGUAAAGCUCUUUUGUCAGGGAAGAAACGGUGGGAGCUAAUAUCUCCCGCUAAUGACGGUACCUGAAGAAUAAGCACCGGCUAACUACGUGCCAGCAGCCGCGGUAAUACGUAGGGUGCAAGCGUUAAUCGGAAUUACUGGGCGUAAAGCGUGCGCAGGCGGUUUUGUAAGUCUGUCGUGAAAGCCCCGGGCUCAACCUGGGAAUUGCGAUGGAGACUGCAAGGCUUGAAUCUGGCAGAGGGGGGUAGAAUUCCACGUGUAGCAGUGAAAUGCGUAGAGAUGUGGAGGAACACCGAUGGCGAAGGCAGCCCCCUGGGUCAAGAUUGACGCUCAUGCACGAAAGCGUGGGGAGCAAACAGGAUUAGAUACCCUGGUAGUCCACGCCCUAAACGAUGUCUACUAGUUGUCGGGUUUUAAUUAACUUGGUAACGCAGCUAACGCGUGAGUAGACCGCCUGGGGAGUACGGUCGCAAGNUUAAAACUUCAAAGGAAUUGACGGNNGNGNGNGCGAGACGACGACGAGGAGAGG
rnacentral:rRNA from 1 species